rnacentral:rRNA from 1 species
UACGGGGGGGGCAAGCGUUGUUCGGAAUUACUGGGCGUAAAGGGCGCGUAGGCGGUUGGAUAAGUCAGCUGUGAAAACCACGGGCUUAACUCGUGGCCUGCAGUUGAGACUGUCUGGCUGAGUGUGGGAGAGGAGAGUGGAAUUCCUGGUGUAGCGGUGAAAUGCGUAGAUAUCAGGAGGAACACCGGUGGCGAAGGCGGCUCUCUGGGCCGAUACUGACGUGAGGGAGCGAAAGCGUUGGGGGAGCGAACAG